AGCGAACGCUGGCGGCAGGCCUAACACAUGCAAGUCGAACGGAUCCUUCGGGAUUAGUGGCGGACGGGUGAGUAACACGUGGGAACGUGCCCUUUGGUUCGGAACAACUCAGGGAAACUUGAGCUAAUACCGGAUGUGCCCUUCGGGGAAAGAUUUAUCGCCAUUGGAGCGGCCCGCGUCUGAUUAGCUAGUUGGUGAGGUAAAGGCUCACCAAGGCGACGAUCAGUAGCUGGUCUGAGAGGAUGAUCAGCCACAUUGGGACUGAGACACGGCCCAAACUCCUACGGGAGGCAGCAGUGGGGAAUCUUGCGCAAUGGGCGAAAGCCUGACGCAGCCAUGCCGCGUGAAUGAUGAAGGUCUUAGGAUUGUAAAAUUCUUUCACCGGGGACGAUAAUGACGGUACCCGGAGAAGAAGCCCCGGCUAACUCGUGCCAGCAGCCGCGGUAAU
rnacentral:rRNA from 1 species